rnacentral:rRNA from 1 species
UACGGGGGGGGCAAGCGUUGUUCGGAAUUACUGGGCGUAAAGGGUUCGUAGGUGGCCAACUAAGUCAGACGUGAAAUCCCUCAGCUUAACUGGGGAACUGCGUCUGAUACUGGAUGGCUUGAGUGCAGGAGAGGAAUGCGGAAUUCCAGGUGUAGCGGUGAAAUGCGUAGAUAUCGGGAGGAACACCAGUGGCGAAGGCGGUUGCCUGGAGCUUUGCUGACGCUGAUGCGCGAAAGCGUGGGGAGCGAUCCGG